GAGUGAGCGAGAGCGAGAAAUACAAAGCCACAAAAAAAAAAAAAAACAUUAAAAAGAAAGAGAGAGGGUUCAGUUUCAGGUUCAAGUUCAAGCCUUUGCGCGUUGUUGCUUGGACGAGCGAAGAAAAAACCUCUGAGUCAACUCGGACGAGUUGCCUCAUCACACGCUUCACUCCUUGGACUCGGUUCUGGUCGUCUUCGUUAACCCUCAUUCUCUUCAACCGAAUCACCGUUCGCAGGGUUUUAUUCUCUUUCCUUUCGAUUCGUGUUCAGAUCUCGCAUUGAUUUGAGCUGAAUCGUCGCUUCCAAUUUCACUCCCUUGCUUAGGGGUUUUGGUUCGGAGGUAGUGAAGUUAUGGUUUGGCGGUUGUAAUGAAUUAAUGAUUGUUUGUGGUGCGAGACAUUGGUGCAAGGCUUUCAGUGUAGUUGGCAACUACUUGGGAGGGAAGAGGAACAAUCUUUCUUCCGCUGUUGUUGUCUUGUGCUGUGGUUGUUCUGUUGAUGUCUCGGAAGCUCGACAGCCCUGUGCAGACUCAGAUGGCUGUGGCGGUGAUAAGGAGCAGUCCCCUCGGGAGAGAGUAUCAUGGGAGACAACCUGCGGGGAGGAGGCGUGUGUUUGUGCAAACGGAGAAAGGGUGUGUGUUGGGUAUGGAAUUGGAUCGUGGUGACAAUGCUCACACUGUUAAGAGGAGGUUGCAGAUAGCGCUCAAUGUCCCUAUUGAAGAGAGUUCACUCACUUUUGGGGACAUAGUUUUGAAGAAUGACCUCAGUGCUGUUAGGAACGAUUCCCCACUUUUGCUCACUAGGAAUCUCAUGCAUAGAAGCUCCUCCACGCCGUGUCUUUCGCCCACGGGGAGGGACUUUCAGCAGAGGGAUAAGAGUGGCCCUAUUGAGAUUUUGGGGCAGUCGAAUCGCCUUGAUAGGAUAAAGCACAUGAUCAAGGACAUUGUCAAGGCGAUUAAGAUGGGGAUUGAUCCAAUUACGGUGCAUAGUGGGCUUGGAGGUGCUUACUAUUUCAGGAACAGUAAGGGGGAUAGUGUUGCGAUUGUGAAGCCAACUGAUGAGGAGCCUUUUGCUCCGAAUAACCCAAAAGGCUUUGUUGGCAAGGCCCUUGGGCAACCUGGGCUUAAGCGAUCGGUUCGGGUCGGCGAGACCGGGUUUAGGGAGGUUGCGGCGUAUCUUCUUGACUAUGAUCAUUUUGCCAACGUGCCCCCGACGGCGUUGGUGAAGAUUACACACUCUGUGUUCAAUGUGAAUGAUGAUGUCAAUGGGAACAAUCUGUGGAGGAAGAGGCUGGUUAGCAAGAUUGCAUCUUUCCAGCAGUUUAUUCCUCAUGAUUUUGAUGCCAGUGAUCAUGGGACAUCGAGCUUCCCGGUUGCUUCUGUGCAUCGAAUUGGGAUUCUAGACAUUAGGAUUCUUAACACAGAUAGGCAUGCUGGGAACUUGUUGGUUAGAAAAUUUGAUGGCAUUGGGGGUUUUGGUCAGGUGGAGUUGAUUCCCAUUGAUCAUGGGCUCUGCCUGCCUGAGACUUUGGAGGAUCCUUAUUUUGAGUGGAUUCAUUGGCCACAGGCUUCAAUUCCGUUUUCGGAGGAUGAGCUUGCCUACAUUGAAGGUCUCGACCCCUAUCGCGAUUGCGAGAUGCUGAGAAUGGAGCUGCCAAUGAUCCGAGAGGCUUGUCUCAGAGUCUUGGUGUUGUGCACCAUUUUCCUCAAGGAGGCUGCGGCUUUCGGCCUUUGUCUUGCUGAAAUUGGUGAGAUGAUGACUAGGGAGUUUCGCAGCUGUGAGGAGGAGCCAAGUGAGCUUGAGGUUGUUUGUUUGGAGGCGAGGAAGAUGGUGGCGGAGAGGGAGGAACCGUCGCCUAGGUUUGAGAUGAGAGAUGAUGAGUUUCAGUUUGAUAUUGAUUAUGAUGAUAUUGGAUCAGAUUUUUCACCAAAGGUGGCAAUAGAUGACCCUCUAAUCAGAACAUCUUUCCAGCCUGUGUUUGGGAACGGGCAUGCUCGCAGCCCGCUUUCCAAGUUGGAUGAAUGCAUUGAGGAGGGAGAGGAGGAAAGUGAGGGAGAAUCUCCUCAGGGAUUUGUUACUUCUGCUGAAGAAAAAAUCCCAACUGUUCCAGAACUUUCAGUGUCACUGAGAAAUACCAUGUUGGAAGGGAAAAACCAGAAUCACCAGAAAUAUUCUGGAGGGAAGGUGGAUGGUGGCCAUUUUGCAAAUUCAUCAUCUGGUCAUAAGAGUGCCAAUGAGCAGCUUCCUGCUAGCAUAAGCUUUGUGCAUGUGGCAGAUAUGACUGAGGAUGAAUGGACAUUGUUUCUGGAGAAGUUUCAAGAGCUGCUGCAUCCGGCAUUUGCCAAGAGGAAAUCUGUAACCUUAGGUCAGAGGCAGAGACAGAGACUUGGUACUUCGUGCCAGUUUUGAAGUUGAGCAAUACUUUGGUAUGAUAGAGGACUAUAGAAUGAAGAAGAAUAAGGCUUUGUAGGUUUCAGGGAAUGAAUGAAGGGUUUUUAAGAUAGUCCUGGUUUAUGAGAUUUGGAUGAGUGCUUUGGUUGGGAGAGAGCGUAGGAAAACCUGCUGUAAAUAUGCUUGGCAUCAGCUAAGUGACAUCUUGGGUGGUGGGCGUAGAGGAAUCAAAUUAAUCAAAACCGUGGAUCUUUUUGUUGCCUUGUGCCAUGCACCAUGCUGCUUCCAAGUCCUGCUAAACCGCCCACACUCGUUAUUCACCUGUGUUGCUAAGAUCAUUUAACUGCCCAGCAAAGCUGAAGUGCUAGAAAACAAAGGUUGCCGAUGAUGAAACAGAAACUACACAAAUGUUAGCAACCAAACCAGCGAAGGAACAUCGCAUGAAAUGGUCCCACCAAUGCACUAACCAUUGGACCAGAAUGUUUGCCCCUUCAUUAUGUCCAGAGGCUCAAUGCUCCUAAUCGGUUUCAAUUAGUUUUUACUGCAACUUAUUAUCUCUUCAAUUAUCCUGUCUACAAGAAAAGGAGGAGUUCUAUUGUUUUUUGUUUUC